rnacentral:lncRNA from 1 species
GAACACACUGAGCAAGAGGCCUUAAUGAGCGGCAGGAGGACUGUGAGCUAGCCAGAAAGCUCGCCUCUCCUUCCUCCUGGUUUUAGAGGAUUCUCUAAUAAGGGGAUAACUGGGAGAAAAAGGAGAGAAACUCAACUCAGGGUAACAGCAGGAGUCCCCCAGCGAUCUUCUAAGCAGCUUCCCCAGAAGGCCUCCAGCCAUUCCUGGGACGGGAAGACUUAAUGAGCACAGCCCUCCAUGCCUGUGGGGCUGAACACCACCACUAAAGCCGCCUUCACUCGGGUCCCUGCCCUCGGAGAUCAGCUGGCCACUCGGAGAAGCAGAAAACAGAGGAAUUCUUGGCAGCCUUGACCCAGCUGUUGCUUGAUGAGAUAAAUAUAUCCACUUUGUCUUAUGGAAGGGGGUCACUGAAAUGUAGGUAGCUCAAGAUGCUAACAAGAUGAACUUGAAUUUAGUUUCUAGAACAAAUGAUUUCAGACAUGCACUGCUACACCCUCUUUAUACAGUGCUAGAAAGAGAACUCGAGGCUUCAUCCUCUAUAGCCGAGCUCUGUCUCGGACCCUGGAAGAUUCUAUUGCACCAGGCCACAAAGAAAGAAAUCACAAGAACAGGCGGCUGCCACUCCCAAAUGUGGACCAGCUCCUCAAGUGUGGGGAAGCUACACAGACUUUCUGGAGCUCCAUCCUGGACCCUAAACAGAGGGCAUCUCUCUCUAGGCCUAGGAUGUCUGUAGGAGCUUCCAUGACCACAUGCAGUCACUGAAGAGGGCCAAGAGAGUGAAUGAUCAUAGGUUACUUACAACCAACAGGGGAAGAAGCUGACAGAGCAUCCGACAUGGAAGUCAAUUUGAAAGGACUCCCACUAACAAAAACAGGAAAAAAAAUCUAUCAUCGAAGAAAUUACAUCACAGCCAGGCAAGAUUCAGCAGGAGCAGUUCACCAUUGCUCCACAUGGUGGCAGCUGAGUGGCUUGAUCACAAGGACUCCUGGGUUCAUUUCCAAGAUGGCUCCUUCCCAGGAAGGACAAAUGGAUGCUGAACCAUCAGCUGAGGAUUCUUCUCCACGGGUAUCUCUGGGGCUCCCUCAAAGAGACAAAACAGGAUUCCAAGAGACAGAAAGGGAUGAUGUCACACACCUGAGAUGUAAGGGGUUAAAUCCCAUAUCCUGAGGAGGAAAGCCCCAAAUAGACUCAAAGGGGCAAUGAAAUGACUUUGCCUCUCCAGGUAGAAUGACAAAGAAUGUCCAUCUGUCUUUAAUCCAUUCUCUCUUUUCUGUUGUUCAUUUCUCUCUUGUUCUAUUGUUUUUAACAGGUUGAAUCCAGAUGUGCAUUUCUUUACCAGAAGUGGUAGCAAGACAGGUGCAAGCCUGUGAAAAUGGCAUUUAGUGCUAGGAAGUGGUUCAGAGAUGAUGUCUUCUGUAGGGACAGAAGUUAUUCAUAACUGGUGCAACCAUAUGAAAAUUUUGUGACACAAAUUUUCCAUUAGAAGCUAAAAAUUUGGCAUUUUGUAUUAAACCUAAGUUAUUGACUAU